UUAUAUAUCACCAUAAUAAGGCUGGAGUUGCUGUUUUCUCAACCCUUUUAGGUUAACUUUUGUGUUGCAACACAAAAACUGAUAAUUGAGGUUCAUGGCAUGAUGUGUGUGAUUCCAAAUAGGGUAAGGAUAGCAGCAAACUACAGGUUAAAUUAAAUAUCGACCAUAGUUUUAGUUGAGCUAUAAAUGCUUUGUUGCUCCCUUUUUCUUUUCUUGGUAAAUAAGAAAUAGCAUCUAUUUGCAUCCGCCUGCAGCAGGUCUAUUACUUCAACUGUGGCAAGUGAUGCACCUGCAGUCCCGUUCCCAUUCAUGUUGCCUUCUCUGAGUUUGUGUUGUACCCUUCUUACCUCUCAGUCCCGUUGUAGCAUUCCGUUCAACGCUCGAACUAUAGCAUUAUGAUGCUGCCUCUUUACAGCUAGUCGGUCGCUGCACUAUAGCAGUGUUAUCGACCUCCAAAACUACUCUUGGAAUGAAUUUAUUGUGAUUCAUAAUUUUCGUGUAUGUUGAUUCGUCAUUCUCAAGCAAUAAAUUUAUUGUGAUU
rnacentral:lncRNA from 1 species